GUCAUUUUUGUGCAAUAUUUUCACAAAUGUGCUUAUUAGGAUCUGAGAGUAAAAUGGCUCUAUCUACUAGUGAGUAUAUAGUACCUAUUUUAUGACUGAGGGGAUUCAGUGAAUGAUAAUUUAAAUAUCGUCCUGAAUAUGUUGGUUUGUGAAACCAAUCACAAAUCAACUUAUUAUUAUCAUUUAUGAUUUUAACAUCAAGAAAACUGAGAAACUUAUUCUUUUGUAAUUCACAAGUAACAUGUAUUCUAUCAUGAAACGAAUUGAAAGUACGCAAAACAAAAUCUAUUUGAUCAUUAGUUCCAGGUCUUGUAAAACUAUAUCAUCAAUGAUUGGUGAUAAAGAGGAAUUCAUCGGGGUGCCAAAAGUCUGUUUAUAAAUCUUGUCAUUAAAAGUAAAAUAAGAAGAUGUCAAUAUAAAUUGUACUGCCAAUAUGAACUCUUCCCUGAUGAUUCUUGUGUGUAAUUUGAUGUAUUUCCAUCUUGAGGAAAUACUUUCAAUAGCAAGAUCUAUCGGAACAUUGGUAAACAAAGACAUCACAUCAAGAGAACAAAAAAUGUAAUCGCUAUUCAACUCGAUUCCUGUAACUGCAUGUUCAAUUGAAAGCUGUUUUUCAUGAACAACGGUGAGUUAGGAAUACUUUUGAAAAUAAUUUUAUACAAAAAAAUAGUUAAGUGAUGUAAAGGACUGUUGAUGGUGGAGACAAUAAUUUUAUAAGGGCACCUUCUUUUAUGAAUUUUGGAGAGACAAUCCUCUUAAUAAACAUAAAAAUGUGAAUGAAUGAAUAGUAAAGGCUCGUGAAAUUGUCAAACUAA